rnacentral:rRNA from 1 species
GGGGAAUAUUGCACAAUGGGCGCAAGCCUGAUGCAGCCAUGCCGCGUGUAUGAAGAAGGCCUUCGGGUUGUAAAGUACUUUCAGCGAGGAGGAAGGUGUUGAGGUUAAUAACCUUAGCAAUUGACGUUACUCGCAGAGGAAGCACCGGCUAACUCCGUGCCAGCAGCCGCGGUAAUACGGAGGGUGCAAGCGUUAAUCGGAAUUACUGGGCGUAAAGCGCACGCAGGCGGUUUGUUAAGUCAGAUGUGAAAUCCCCGGGCUCAACCUGGGAACUGCAUUUGAAACUGGCAAGCUUGAGUCUCGUAGAGGGGGGUAGAAUUCCAGGUGUAGCGGUGAAAUGCGUAGAGAUCUGGAGGAAUACCGGUGGCGAAGGCGGCCCCCUGGACGAAGACUGACGCUGAGGCAUGAAAGCGUGGGGAGCAAAC